rnacentral:misc_RNA from 1 species
UCCGAGUUGACCCCGGCAGUCUCCUAUGAGUCCCCGGCCGAACCGCUGGCAACAUAGGACGAGGGUUGCGCUCGUUGCGGGACUUAACCCAACAUCUCACGACACGAGCUGACGACAGCCAUGCAGCACCUGUGUGUAGGUCCCGUAAGGGAAGGAAUCCAUCUCUGGAAACCGUCCUACCAUGUCAAACGCUGGUAAGGUUCUGCGCGUUGCAUCGAAUUAAACCACACGCUCCGCUGCUUGUGCGGACCCCCGUCAAUUCCUUUGAGUUUUAGCCUUGCGGCCGUACUCCCCAGGCGGGACACUUAUCGCGUUAGCUUCGGCACGGAGGGGGUCGAUACCCCCCACACCUAGUGUCCAACGUUUACGGCGCGGACUAC